rnacentral:sRNA from 18 species
GUCAGUUACAACAAUAAAUUCCCGAUGGGAUUCAUUUUCUUAAUGAAGUUGCCUUGUAACCAAUCUACAAAAUGGGGGAAAUUACUAUG